CGCACAUUGCGCCCGCCAGUAUUCUGGCGGGCAUGCCUGUUCGAGCGUCAUUUCAACCCUCAGGCCCCGCCUGGCGUUGGGGAUCGGCGCGGCCCUCUCCGGGCUGCCGGCCCCGAAAACUAGUGGCGGUCUCGCUGUAGUCCUCCUCUGCGCAGUAGCAACGCUCGCACUGGAACUCGGCGCGGCCACGCCGUAAAACACCCCACUUCUGAAAGUUGACCUCGGAUCAGGUAGGAAUACCCGCUGAACUUAA
rnacentral:misc_RNA from 1 species